ACGUAGGGUGCAAGCGUUAAUCGGGAUUACUGGGCGUAAAGGGCAUGUAGGCGGUAUUUUAAGCAUUGUGUGAAAUACCUAGGCUUAACCUAGGAACGGCAUAAUGAACUGAAGAACUAGAGUGCAGUAGAGGAAGGUAGAAUUCCAGGUGUAGCGGUGAAAUGCGUAGAUAUCUGGAGGAAUACCAGUGGCGAAGGCGGCCUUCUGGACUGACACUGACGCUGAGGUGCGAAAGCGUGGGUAGCAAACAGGAUUAGAUACCCC
rnacentral:rRNA from 1 species